rnacentral:rRNA from 1 species
UACGGGGGGAGCAAGCGUUGUUCGGAUUUACUGGGCGUAAAGGGCGCGUAGGCGGCCAGCACAAGUCGGUUGUGAAAUCUCGGAGCUUAACUCCGAAACUGCAUUCGAUACUGCCGUGCUUGAGGACUGGAGAGGAGACUGGAAUUCAUGGUGUAGCAGUGAAAUGCGUAGAGAUCAUGAGGAAGACCAGUGGCGAAGGCGGGUCUCUGGACAGUUCCUGACACUGAGACACGAAGGCCAGGGGAGCAAACGGG